CAAUUUCAGAUGAAUAUGUACAAUGUAUAAGUAUUUUACAACAAUUCUUUUAUAGCCCUAGUAUUGAAGGCAGAGUGGUAUGGGAGCCAAGCAAAAGUGGGAAAUUUUCGGUUAAAUCCAGUUAUGUAAUACUUUAAAUCGAUGGAAGGAUGAUUAUUGCGCUGAAAUGACCUAUUCCCCCCAAAAAUGAGGAUCUUUAUGUGGGUGGUUCAUUUGAACAAUAUUCAAGCUGUGGAUAUGCUAAGAAAAAGAGGUAAAAUCAUGCCUAAUAUUUGUAUAAUGUGAAAUGUGAUGAGGAAUAUGUAUAUCAUUUGAUCUUAAAUUGUAGGUAUGCUAAAACUAUCUGGAAAUGAGUUUUAACUUGGCUGGACAAAUAGAUGAACAUUCCAGCAUUGGAAGAUUGAAUGAAUAAGGAAAAAGGGAAAGGCUAUAUGGAAAGUAAUUAAAGGAAUGGUGGUUUGGGAAAUCUGGAAAGAGAGAAAGAGAAAAGUAUUUGAGAAUUUGACCAAAACCGGUGGAGAUAUUAUUAGGGUAUCAGUAGCAGAAUGGCUGGCAUUAAGAGUUGAAUGGUGGGGUGUUAGUUGAAUUGACAUUAUGUACAACAUUCAUGAGUUACUCAAAGAAAAGUCAAUAAAGAUAAUUAGAGUUGGAAUAUGGAAAGCACCUGAUAUGGGAUGAAUCAAAUUAAAUUUUAAUGGAAUCUCAGCUGGAAUUCCAGGUCCAGCUGGUAUAUGUGCGAUAAUUAGAGAUUGUGGGGGUGAUAUGCUUUUGAAAUUUUCGGGAUUUUGGGAAGACGAAUUGCACAUGAAGCAAAGAUGAGAGCUUUGCGUCAAGGACUAAAAUUAGCCAAAGAGUUUAACAUACUUUUGAUGGUAGAAGGUGAUUCACUAAAUGUUAUACACUGGAUGAAGAAAGAGAAAGAUUAUCCAUAGAUUUUAUAGGAGUUAAUUAAUGAAGCAGGAUCAAUAUGUAGUGAUAUGAAAGUAUCUUUUAUUCAUGUUUAUAGAGAAGGAAAUAUGGAGGCUGAUCGAUUGGCUA
rnacentral:lncRNA from 1 species